UACAGAGGGUGCAAGCGUUGUUCGGAAUUAUUGGGCGUAAAGGGCGCGUAGGCGGUGCCACAAGUCACCUGUGAAAUCUCCGGGCUUAACUCGGAGCCUGCAGGCGAAACUGUGGUGCUGGAGUGCGGGAGAGGUGCGUGGAAUUCCCGGUGUAGCGGUGAAAUGCGCAGAUAUCAGGAAGAACACCCGUGGCGAAGGCGGCUCUCUGGAACGGUACUGACGCUGAGACGCGAAAGCGUGGGGAGCGAACAGG
rnacentral:rRNA from 1 species